UUAAUGGAUCGAAAAUAAGGGCUUCGAAACCGGCGGUUGGGUUUAAGUGGAUCGUAUAUUUACAAUCUUGGUUAACGUGUGAUGUGAUUUGUUCUAAUAAAAUAAUGAAUAUAUUGAAAGCCAUUCGUUUUGAUUGUGAUUCCAUUGCGAAUAAUUUUUUCAGGGACGAAAAAAAUAAGUGUGGGGAUUUGAUCGGUGCAUUUUAGAUACACUCUAUUGAAUAUUAAUUAUGAUGAAACUGCAUUGAUAUUAGUAUAAAAUAGGAUCCACUAAUUCGUCUUCGUAUCAGGUGGGUUAUAAAGAAAAUGAGCUCAAAAUGAUGGAAUUUAUAUGCAUUAAAAGAGUAAACGAUUAAACAAUAAUUAAUAUUAAUUGAACUCAAAUUGCUCAUUUUUGUUUUGAUCCAUAUUUUCUUUCUUGAUAUUGCAGUUUGUUAUUUGAAGUGGCAUGUUACAACCAUCGUUCCCUUCAUGUUGGAAUAAAAGAAAUCAAGUGCAUGAAAAGAAAGAACUAAUGGAUUUGGGUCUUGAAUAUUGUCACGUGGCCUAAGAGUGAAUUAAAUUGGUUAAUGGGCAAAUUAGUUGUGGUGGGCUUUUGAUUUAGUUGUGUUGGGCUGCCAAGUAUAACAGCCGACCUAUUAUAAAUGACAAGGGGAUAUGAAGGAGUUUGGGGCGAAACAUUGGGGGAUUGGCAGUCGCAGCCGUCAAGAUCGAACUCAGGGACGAAUUAGAUUAUUCUCUCAUUCAUUCAAGCUAUUCAAUGGAAUCUAAGCAAUUCAAGAUGACAAUUGAAGUGGCAAAGAUCAGCAUGCGCGGCUAAGCCUCUCGUGACUUCUGCCCGGAUGAACCUUGACCACUUGUGUUGGAUUAUUGGUAAACGUUUCUUGUGUUUGAAUUACUUGUCAUUUAUUAAGCGUAUUGGCAACUUUCUUGCGUUGUUAGCGGGUUAG
rnacentral:lncRNA from 1 species